UACGUAGGGGGCAAGCGUUGUCCGGAUUUAUUGGGCGUAAAGAGCGUGUAGGCGGCCAGGUAGGUCCGCUGUGAAAACUCGAGGCUCAACCUCGAGAUGUCGGCGGAAACCAUCUGGCUAGAGUCCGGAAGAGGAGAGUGGAAUUCCUGGUGUAGCGGUGAAAUGCGCAGAUAUCAGGAGGAACACCUAUAGCGAAGGCAGCUUGCUGGGACGACACUGACGCUAAGGCGCGAAAGCGUGGGGAGCGAACAGG
rnacentral:rRNA from 1 species